GACGAACGCUGGCGGCGUGCUUAACACAUGCAAGUCGAGCGGUAAGGCCUUUCGGGGUACACGAGCGGCGAACGGGUGAGUAACACGUGGGUGAUCUGCCCUGCACUUCGGGAUAAGCCUGGGAAACUGGGUCUAAUUCCGGAUAUGACCUCCUAUCGCAUGGUGGGUGGUGGAAAGAUUUAUCGGUGCAGGAUGGGCCCGCGGCCUAUCAGCUUGUUGGUGGGGUAAUGGCCUACCAAGGCGACGACGGGUAGCCGACCUGAGAGGGUGACCGGCCACACUGGGACUGAGACACGGCCCAGACUCCUACGGGAGGCAGCAGUGGGGAAUAUUGCACAAUGGGCGAAAGCCUGAUGCAGCGACGCCGCGUGAGGGAUGACGGCCUUCGGGUUGUAAACCUCUUUCAGCAGGGACGAAGCGCAAGUGA
rnacentral:rRNA from 1 species